UACGGAGGGUGCAAACGUUGCUCGGAAUCACUGGGCGUAAAGGGCGUGUAGGCGGGACGGUAAGUCGGGCGUGAAAUCCCUAGGCUCAACCUAGGAACUGCACUCGAAACUACCAUUCUUGAGUGUCGGAGAGGAAAGCGGAAUUCCUGGUGUAGAGGUGAAAUUCGUAGAUAUCAGGAGGAACACCAGUGGCGAAGGCGGCUUGCUGGACGAUAACUGACGCUGAGACGCGAAAGCGUGGGGAGCAAACAGG
rnacentral:rRNA from 1 species